GCUAGAGGAUUAAGAAGGCCUGGCUUGUUGAGCAGGGCAAGGCCGAUACCAUCCUCUUAAAGAAAUGCAAUGGAGAGAGGGGUCCAGCUUACAGAGAGCAGAGACCUCACUGUGCCAUUCAACAACA